UGCAUCACUAAAAUGUAUCCUAAUUUCCUUCUUACUUACAAGUAAACUCCUCAAUAAACAAUUUCCUAACCACGUGUACAAACACCGAGCAUGUAGGUACUUGUCUAGACAGGGAACAUUUUUAUAGACUUAUACUGGCUGCUGGCCAUUCCUCACAGCUGGGGCUAAUUUCGGUUAGUGCUGGCUUACUGAACAAAAUAAAGAGAUAGAAGAGAACAUGACAAUCCAUUCGAUGAGUUAUAGAGAGUUCUCUUCUAAUAAACUUCCACUAAUUAGAAGCAAGGCAGCAGUUACAGUGAGGAAUGACAGUGAGAAAUAGUUGAAGAGCCACUUCAGACAGGAUUAAAUUGCGGAUUAGCAGAUGCAAACUAUUACAUACAGAAUGAAUAAACAAUAAGGUCCUAAUUGUAUGUAGCACAGGGAACCAGUCAAUAUCCUGUAAUAAACGAUAAUGGAAAAGAAUAUGAGAAAGAGUAUAAAUACAUAAAACUGAAUCACUGCAAUACAGCAGAAAUUAACACAUCGCAAAUUAACUAUACGUCAAUUUAAAAUAUUUUUCUAAAAAAAGAGGAACUAAGGACUGAAUGAAGUGCAGGGUGCGAUCCGAUGGCCGAGUCAGGGAGAAAGAAAUGCAGCCGAUUGUGCAAAAACUCACCACACCUCAGAGCAGUGAGCGCUCUUCUUUUUCAUACCACUUCUCACCUCAAUUCAAGAGAAACAGAAGCGCACGUGACCGGGAGAGAGGACGGCCUGAAAGCGGAAACAGCUACGCUGCUUUGGUCCGUCACUUUCAAAAAGGAAAAGAAGAUCAGCUAAAGUUCUCCUCUGAGCAAAAACACACAGUCCUACUACAUGAACUCAUAUCCUUUCUGAAAUAAAAGCAGCAUCAGGCUUCUCAA